rfam:Ictidomys tridecemlineatus contig073688, whole genome shotgun sequence.
UGAGUUGUGGCUCAGCGGUACAGCACUUGCCUAGCAUGGAUGAGGCACUGGGUUCGAUUCUCAGCACCACAU